AUCUACCUCGUUGACCGGAAGAGUUUCCUUCCGGUCAACGAGGGUACAUCCUCGUUGAUCGGAAGGAACCCCUUCCGAUCAAAGAGGUCGAU
rnacentral:miRNA from 1 species